GCACACCGUCAAGCUCACCGUAACGUCUUCGGCUCCAAUUAAUAUGUACUAUCCUCCUAGCUUCCCCUGUAACGCAUAAGAGCCAGAUUUAUGGCUUCGUUACUCUCAGUUUAAAUCUCCGUUCCAAUUCUCCUUUUGAAGGCGGUUUUGUAUGUAAUCAGAUUGUGGAGAGGAAUGACGCAAAAGAUUAGCGUCAUGCUAAAUGGGGAUUUCUUCCGCCAUUGUUAAGGAGACUCAGGUACGUUGAAGGUGAAGAUCAAAGUGACAAGAAGCUAGAUGGUCAGCAUCGUGGAAGUUGGUCUCAAAGGCAUGCUUGAACAAAGGACCAAGAAGGAACAGAAGCGAUGAUAACAAGAGAAGGAAGCUGAGUCCUCUGGAAAGAAACAACACAAUAAGUAUUUAGAAGAACAAAGGGAGCUGAAGUUGCAAGACAUGUGGACAUGUCCGUUGCAUUAGUUUUUUAUUUUUUUCCCAAGCUUAACGAAUUCAUAGCACUUCAAGUCUUUCAUAGAUUAUGUUGUGUUGCUUUAAAUUUUCUAAAUUUGCACCGCUCAGACAUUUCAAGUUAAUAAAUUUGCACUUCCACCCA